rnacentral:rRNA from 1 species
ACGGAAGGCAGCAGUGGGGAAUAUUGGGCAAUGGGCGCAAGCCUGACCCAGCAAUGCCGCGUGAAGGAAGAAGGCUUUCGGGUUGUAAACUUCUUUUUAGUGGGACGACAAUGACGGUACCACUUGAAUAAGCUCCGGCUAACUAUGUGCCAGCAGCCGCGGUAAUACGUAGGGAGCAAGCGUUAUCCGGAUUUACUGGGUGUAAAGGGCGUGUAGGCGGGACAUCAAGUCAGAUGUGAAAGCACGAGGCUCAACUUCGUGUCCGCAUUUGAAACUGACGUUCUUGAGCGUUGGAGAGGCUAACGGAACUCCUAGUGUAGCGGUGAAAUGCGUAGAUAUUAGGAGGAACACCGGUGGCGAAGGCGGCUUGCUGGGCUUUUACUGACGCUGAGGCUCGAAAGCGUGGGUAGCAAACAGGAUUAGAUACCCUGGUA